rnacentral:ribozyme from 12 species
AAAUGGACAAUCACAGUAAAAAAGAUACCAGGAAAAUGGAAUAAUAUGAAAUACCCUCGUUUAUAUUUUCUGUUAAUCUUUUUCU